GAUGAACGCUGGCGGCGUGCCUAAUACAUGCAAGUAGAACGCUGAAGCUUGGUGCUUGCACCGAGCGGAUGAGUUGCGAACGGGUGAGUAACGCGUAGGUAACCUGCCUCUUAGCGGGGGAUAACUAUUGGAAACGAUAGCUAAUACCGCAUAAAAGUCGAUAUCGCAUGAUAUUGAUUUGAAAGGUGCAAUUGCAUCACUAAGAGAUGGACCUGCGUCGUAUUAGCUAGUUGGUGAGGUAACGGCUCACCAAGGCGACGAUACAUAGCCGACCUGAGAGGGUGAUCGGCCACACUGGGACUGAGACACGGCCCAGACUCCUACGGGAGGCAGCAGUAGGGAAUCUUCGGCAAUGGGGGCAACCCUGACCGAGCAACGCCGCGUGAGUGAAGAAGGUUUUCGGAUCGUAAAGCUCUGUUGUAAGAGAAGAACGAGUGUGAGAGUGGAAAGUUCACACUGUGACGGUAACUUACCAGAAAGGGACGGC
rnacentral:rRNA from 1 species